CUGCCCAGGGUUAGCCCUACACACCCCCAUUGUGACAGUCUCACAGGACAGCAAGCCAGCCAGUGCAGGCAGGCAGACAGACAGAUAGAUGCACCCUAGGGUAGCUCUAACUCCUUGUGUAGGUGGGUCAGCUAUCAGGACAUCAUGGAAUACUUUCUCAGCCUGCUUCGCAGUAGAAAGACAGAAGUUUGACCUAACAUCUGAGGGGAAGACCUGCUUGGUGAAACUUCUCUGGCUAAAAAGGAAAAUGAAAGUCUAGAAAAAGAGGCUCAGGUCUAGCAGCAGUCCCCUCCAGUGACGUUGGAAAACAGCCAAGCCCUUCUACAGUGGUCUCCCCGGCUGCUUCACCCUGGGCGGGGUGUGGUUUUGCAAAUGUUAAAGACUGUGUCCAGUUCUUCCUGGCCCUCACCCUAGGUUCUUUCCUAUGACUUGGCUUUACAAGUGAAUUCUGUCAGACUCUGGGGGCGAAGACAAAGCAGAUGCAGGAAUGUGCUCCUGGGAACACGGAGUUCCACCUCAGCACCGAAGGCACCACACAGGCCUGCCCCAGAGCUAGGAGCAGUGAUCUGACAACAAGCAUACUUAGAGGUCAUAAUCCCAGCACUCCAGAGACUGAGACAGGAGGAUCAUCAGUUAGAGACCCUGUCUCAAGAGCAAGCAAAUAAAAACUAAAAGACGGUAUGUGCCUUCACAAGAGACAA